AGCCAACAAACUUGAGGAUAUCCU
rnacentral:siRNA from 1 species